GAUGAACGCUGGCGGCGUGCCUAAUACAUGCAAGUCGAGCGAAGCGGGGAAGGGUGAGUAACACGUCGAUAAACUCCUAUAAGACUGGGAUAACUUCGUGAAAACGGAGCUAAACCGGCUACUUAUAGAUGGCUCCGCGUUGCAUUAGCUAGUGGUUAAGGUAACGGCUUACCAAGGCAACGAUGCAUCUCCGACCUGAGAGGGUGAGCGGCAACACUGGGACGUAGACACGGCCCAGAUUCCUACGGGAGGCAGCAGUAGGGAAUAUUCGGCAAUUGACGAAAGUCUGAUCGAGCAACGCCGAGUGAGUGAAGAAGGUGUUCGGAUCGUAAAACUCUGUUGGUAGUGAAGCGGUAUCUAACCAGAACGCCCCGGCUAACUACGUGCCAGCAGCCGCGGUAAUUG
rnacentral:rRNA from 1 species